UGGGGAAUAUUGCACAAUGGGCGCAAGCCUGAUGCAGCCAUGCCGCGUGUGUGAAGAAGGCCUUCGGGUUGUAAAGCACUUUCAGCGAGGAGGAAGGUGGUGAGCUUAAUACGCUCAUCAAUUGACGUUACUCGCAGAAGAAGCACCGGCUAACUCCGUGCCAGCAGCCGCGGUAAUACGGAGGGUGCAAGCGUUAAUCGGAAUUACUGGGCGUAAAGCGCACGCAGGCGGUUUGUUAAGUCAGAUGUGAAAUCCCCGGGCUCAACCUGGGAACUGCAUUUGAAACUGGCAAGCUAGAGUCUCGUAGAGGGGGGUAGAAUUCCAGGUGUAGCGGUGAAAUGCGUAGAGAUCUGGAGGAAUACCAGUGGCGAAGGCGGCCCCCUGGACGAAGACUGACGCUCAGGUGCGAAAGCGUGGGGAGCAAAACAGGAUUAGAUACCCUGGUAGUCCACGCUGUAAACGUGUCGAUUUGGAGGUUGUGCCCUUGAGGCGUGGCUUCCAGAGCUAACGCGUUAAAUCGACCGCCUGGGGAGUACGGCCGCAAGGUUAAAACUCAAAGGAAUUGACGGGGUCAUAGCUGUUUCCUG
rnacentral:rRNA from 1 species